AUUAAUUAGUUAUUAAGUACAUUGCUUUGUUAUAUUGAGUGUAUUAAGUUCCAGUUACGGAGUUGUUUUUUGUUUUGGUUUUGAUUCUUCUAAUCAUCCAAUGGAAGUGAAGCCAAUCAUCACUGGAGGGCAUUCUGUAGUGUUAUAUUAUUAUUUACUACACCAUAUCAGGACUUUUCAAAGAUCUCGUGUUGGAGAGGAGCAAUACAAUCGAUUUAUUUAAUCAUCUAAUGGUGUUCGUUCUAUACAUCUUGGCUUAUAAUACCUCAUGUGUGAUUGAAGAUGAAAACCAUGGGAGUAGUGUAUGGUCAGAAACAAUACUUUUGAAUUGCAGUGGGAGUGAAAUAAGACUGCCUUUCAACAACAUUUACAAAGGCCUCAUGUUGGCAAAGGAGAUAUAUUGAAAGACAACGUUCCACGACGGGAUCAAUUGUGUUUUGGUCACAUUACGUGAACAGUGAUCACAUAUUUAUAUACAGUCGAGUUACCAAUAUAACCUAUGAGAAAUUUGGAUAAAAAGCAAAUCCGCACGGGUUUAGAUAUGUUAUAAAUCCUCUUAUGGUUUGAUUUACUAUGAUGUAUCCAAGGAAGAAAUGUUCCAUUAUAUGUCACCUUACAUAUUUAUAUAUAAUCAAGUCUCCCAUAUUAUCUAGAGAAAUUUGGAUAAAAAGCAAAUCCGCAUGGAUUUAGAUAUGUUAUAAUUCCUCCUACGGUUUGAUUUACUAUGUUGUAUCCAAGAAGAGACUUCCAUAUUAUAAAUCACCUUUCAUGAGUGUAAGGGUAAUAGUGGAUCAAUAGACUUCAUGUGGACAAAGAGACAUGUGAUAGACUUCGUUCCCACAUGGGAUUGAAUAUGUUUUAAUGUCCUCCUAUGUAAUAUAUGUAUUUCUAUUAUGUAUCCUCUGUAUUAAUUUGCUAUUAUGCAAAUAAUGGAAAAAUUUCUUCGUUAAAAGACUCCCCACUUUAUCAUUGUCAAAUAUUUAUACAUAAUUUUGUUUUCCCUUACUAUCUAGGUAUAUAAGUUAGAAAUAAUUAGUCAAUAUUCUAUUAUGUAUCCUCUGUAUUAGUUUGCAAUUAUGUAAUAAUUAGAAUAAUUUAUCCGUUAAAAGACUCUUUAAAUUAUCAAUGUAUAAUAAUUAUAUAUAAUUUUGUUUCCCUUACUAUCUAGAUCAACAUGGACAGAAAGCAUACCCCCAUGGAUUAAGAUAUGUUAUAAUUCCUCCUAUACAUGAUUAACUAUUAUAUAUCCAAGGAAGAGUUUUUCCGUUAUAAGUCACCUUAUAUGAGUGGUAGAAUGAGAGUGGAACGGUAGAUAAUCUAUGGUUGAUAUGGAUAAACAGGAAACCCCCAUGGGGUUUAAUAUAUUUUAAUUCCACACUCGUAUUGAUUCACUAUGAUGUAUCCAUGGAUUAAAUUUUCCGUUAUUUCGCUCAUCAUUAUAGUGUAUUACUGUUGCUCUUUAUUGUUUGGUUUUCAUCAUUCAAGUUGUUAUAUACUGUUUUGUUUCUCACAUUAUCAUCAUAGAAUUUAGUAUGUUUCGAUUCUGCCCAUUUAAUGAGUCACUAUCAUGCACCCACUGGAAAAGAUUUCCGAUUAAAAGUUGCUUUACAUGAACAGAGGUUCUAUAGGAAUAAUAGUACCAUGAUCUUAUUCAAUUAUCGUUCUUUUCGUUUCAUUUUCAACAUUAUGCUUGUUAUAUAAUAUUUAAUUUCCUACAUUAUAUAGGGUGUGAGAAGAGGUGUGGAUCGAUUAAAAUUAAAAAUCCUAGUGACGAUAUUACUAUCCAAACGAACAAACAUUUACAUGGUCCCA
rnacentral:lncRNA from 1 species